AUGAACGCUGGCGGCGUGCCUAAUACAUGCAAGUCGCGCGAACGGACGAGAAGCUUGCUUCUCUGAUGUUAGCGGCGGACGGGUGAGUAACACGUGGAUAACCUACCUAUAAGACUGGGAUAACUUCGGGAAACCGGAGCUAAUACCGGAUGAUAUUUUGAACCGCAUGGUUCAAAAGUGAAAGACGGUCUUGCUGUCACUUAUAGAUGGAUCCGCGCUGCAUUAGCUAGUUGGUAAGGUAACGGCUUACCAAGGCAACGAUGCAUAGCCGACCUGAGAGGGUGAUCGGCCACACUGGAACUGAGACACGGUCCAGACUCCUACGGGAGGCAGCAGUAGGGAAUCUUCCGCAAUGGGCGAAAGCCUGACGGAGCAACGCCGCGUGGGUGAUGAAGGUCUUCGGAUCGUAAAACUCUGUUAUUAGGGAAGAACAUAUGUGUAAGUAACUGUGCACAUCUUGACGGUACCUAAUCAGAAAGCCACGGCUAACUACGUG
rnacentral:rRNA from 1 species